AAUACAUGCAAGUCGAGCGGACAGAUGGGAGCUUGCUCCCUGAUGUUAGCGGCGGACGGGUGAGUAACACGUGGGUAACCUGCCUGUAAGACUGGGAUAACUCCGGGAAACCGGGGCUAAUACCGGAUGGUUGUUUGAACCGCAUGGUUCAAACAUAAAAGGUGGCUUCGGCUACCACUUGCAGAUGGACCCGCGGCGCAUUAGCUAGUUGGUGAGGUAAUGGCUCACCAAGGCAACGAUGCGUAGCCGACCUGAGAGGGUGAUCGGCCACACUGGGACUGAGACACGGCCCAGACUCCCACGGGAGGCAGCAGUAGGGAAUCUUCCGCAAUGGACGAAAGUCUGACGGAGCAACGCCGCGUGAGUGAUGAAGGUUUUCGGAUCGUAAAGCUCUGUUGUUAGGGAAGAACAAGUGCCGUUCGAAUAGGGCGGUACCUUGACGGUACCUAACCAGAAAGCCACGGCUAACUACGUGCCAGCAGCCGCGGUAAUACGUAGGUGGCAAGCGUUGUCCGGAAUUAUUGGGCGUAAAGGGCUCGCAGGCGGUUUCUUAAGUCUGAUGUGAAAGCCCCCGGCUCAACCGGGGAGGGUCAUUGGAAACUGGGGAACUUGAGUGCAGAAGAGGAGAGUGGAAUUCCACGUGUAGCGGUGAAAUGCGUAGAGAUGUGGAGGAACACCAGUGGCGAAGGCGACUCUCUGGUCUGUAACUGACGCUGAGGAGCGAAAGCGUGGGGAGCGAACAGGAUUAGAUACCCUGGUAGUCCACGCCGUAAACGAUGAGUGCUAAGUGUUAGGGGGUUUCCGCCCCUUAGUGCUGCAGCUAACGCAUUAAGCACUCCGCCUGGGGAGUACGGUCGCAAGACUGAAACUCAAAGGAAUUGACGGGGGCCCGCACAAGCGGUGGAGCAUGUGGUUUAAUUCGAAGCAACGCGAAGAACCUCACCAGGUCUUGACAUCCUCUGACAAUCCUAGAGAUAGGACGUCCCCUUCGGGGGCAGAGUGACAGGUGGUGCAUGGUUGUCGUCAGCUCGUGUCGUGAGAUGUUGGGUUAAGUCCCGCAACGAGCGCAACCCUUGAUCUUAGUUGCCAGCAUUCAGUUGGGCACUCUAAGGUGACUGCCGGUGACAAACCGGAGGAAGGUGGGGAUGACGUCAAAUCAUCAUGCCCCUUAUGACCUGGGCUACACACGUGCUACAAUGGACAGAACAAAGGGCAGCGAAACCGCGAGGUUAAGCCAAUCCCACAAAUCUGUUCUCAGUUCGGAUCGCAGUCUGCAACUCGACUGCGUGAAGCUGGAAUCGCUAGUAAUCGCGGAUCAGCAUGCCGCGGUGAAUACGUUCCCGGGCCUUGUACACACCGCCCGUCACACCACGAGAGUUUGUAACACCCGAAGUCGGUGAGGUAACCUUUUAGGAGCCAGCCGCCGAAGGUGGGACAGAUGAUUGGGGUAAAGUCGAGCAAGGUAG
rnacentral:rRNA from 1 species